UACGAGGGGGGCAAGUGUUGUUCGGAAUCACUGGGCGUAAAGGGAGCGUAGGCGGGCUCUUAAGUUGGAUGUUUAAAACCGGGGCCCAACCCCGGCGUGGCAUCCAAAACUGGGAGUCUUGAAUGGAACAGAGGCUAGUGGAAUUGGAGGUGUAGCGGUGGAAUGCGUAGAGAUCUCCAAGAACACCCGUUGCGAAGGCGGCUAGCUGGGUUCACAUUGACGCUGAGGCUCGAAAAGCGUGGGGAGCAAACAGG
rnacentral:rRNA from 1 species